rnacentral:rRNA from 1 species
CCUACGGGUGGCAGCAGUGGGGAAUAUUGCACAAUGGGGGAAACCCUGAUGCAGCGACGCCGCGUGAGUGAAGAAGUAAUUCGUUAUGUAAAGCUCUAUCAGCAGGGAAGAAAAUGACGGUACCUGAGUAAGAAGCCCCGGCUAACUACGUGCCAGCAGCCGCGGUAAUACGUAGGGGGCAAGCGUUAUCCGGAUUUACUGGGUGUAAAGGGAGCGUAGACGGUCCUGCAAGCCAGAUGUGAAAGCCCGGGGCUCAACCCCGGGACUGCAUUUGGAACUGUAAGGCUAGAGUGUCGGAGAGGCAGGCGGAAUUCCGAGUGUAGCGGUGAAAGGCGUAGAUAUUAGGAGGAACACCGAUUGCGAAGGCAGCUUACCAAUCUAUAUCUGACGUUGAGGCACGAAAGCGUGGGGAGCAAACAGGAUUAGAUACCCGAGUAGUC